rnacentral:tRNA from 1 species
GGAUUGUGACUCAGCGGUAGAGCGCUUGCCUAGCAUGUGCGAGGCUCUGGGUUCGAUCCUCAACACCA